rnacentral:tRNA from 1 species
GGUGAGAUGGCCGAGUGGUCUAAGGUGAUGCGUUAGGUCGCAGUCUCUCCGGAUGCGUGGGUUUGAACCCCACUCUCAUCA